UUUAAUUUAAACAUCUUAUGAUAACAUUGUUCAUUCUCUUUAUUUUUCCUCACAAACUAUUUUUUCUUACGCACCGACCUCUCAGUUCUCUCCACACUUGAGUGUUUUUUGAUGUUUAUUUAUAGUAUAGAGCUGAAUGUUGCUAAUGAUAACAUCAUCACUAAAGAAAGAGAUCGAGGACCUCCAAAUUCAUAAUUUCUACCUACAACUAGUAUCUUUUUUUUUAUAUGACCAUGAUGUUUGGACCUCAACUAAUUCUACCAGAUACCUAUUACCUCCCACAAUGUACCUCCAAAUUGCCUUGUAUAGUUCUAUUCUAAAAAGAAAGACUCAGCAGAGACUUCACCAUUAAGAGUCUAAUAGUUUUCCUAUAUAAUGUUUCAUUCAGAGAAAGCAAAGGACUUACCAAAGAUCAUAAAUUUGCAACUGGUAUGUAUGCUACUUUAGCACAUUCAGUUGGUCUUGCCGUUACUGUAUGCGUUAUCGACGGCAUCUCUUUCUAUAUGGUCUGCUUUAUGAUUCUUCUUCCUAAAAAAAAGGCCUAGAGAUAAUCUGAACAGAUUUAUUGUGUGACAAUAAGAUUUCAUCAUUCUAAAGAUGCAGCUAGCAAUGUAUUUGAUAUUCUUCUGAUUAAGUUACGUUCAAUAAAGAUAUGUUGCAUAUAAUUUCUAGGUAUCUUAUGAGUUCAAUUCUAUGAAGAAUACUGAGCCUUGUGAUCUCAAACUUUCUAUAGAACUUUUAUACAGAGUUGUGUCUACUUUACAAGGUCAGUGUACACCCCCAUCCUCCGCACACCACGCUUGUGGGAUCACACUGGGAAUGUAUGUUUUUGUUGUAAAAUUGAAAGAAUAUCAAUGUGGAUGACAACAAUUGUUUAUGAAGAACUUACAAACCCAAAUUAAUGGCAAACUUAGCAAAAUAACAAAGAUGCAAUUGAUAAGCAGGGGUGGAGCUAUAGUGUAGGAAGCGGGUUAGGCAGAGCAAGUAAUUUCAUUCAAAUUCUGUAUUUCUCUUAAGCAAUGAAGGAAGCGGGUUCGACUCAGUGAAGACUUCAUUAGUUAAGAUAUGUAUAUAUACAAAUAAUUUUGCAAGUUGAUGGACCAGUAUGGCAUUACUCGAUCAGUACAAAUGAUUUUUAUAAAUAUUACAAGUCCUCUUCUUUUUGGUUUGUUCACUUUUAAUUAGUAUAUUGUUCGUCACUGUUAAAAUUUUCUUCAUUCUUUUCUUCUUUUUUUUCAUUUUUUUAAAUUUGGAAAAGAGAUGUUUCUAUGCGGUUGUUGAUCAGACUUUCGAAAUCAAUCAAUGUAAUAAUAAUACAAGUUGACUUGGAACCAUGUGAACUGGAUGACCCUGAAAUUUGUAAUAGUAUUUUUGUUGUUCUUAAACAAAGACUAAGUUAAGAGUUUCACCCUAAGAAAGCAAAGAUCAUAAUUUGGGCGAAUAAUGAACCCAACGUUGUACAUUGCUGCUAAGCAAGGUAAUACAGGAGGUGGUGCUUUUCUACUUGCUAUGAUGUGAUAAGGGAUGAAAGAAAUGAGUACCAGGUCACUCCAAAGGGCAACACAGCCCUCCAUGUUGCAGCCCUCUAUGGACAAUCAGGUUAUUUGGAACAAAGCAACAAUAUUACUUUUGAAUUGUUGUGCUUUACCAAUUUUUACCCCUCCUAGCUUGAAGGGGAGUAAUGAGACUUCAUCAGAGUAGUUGGUUGUUAAGUAGUUAAAAGGUGGUUAGAAUGAUUAAGGGUAGUAUAGUCUUUUCUAUUAAAAGUUGUUAUAACUAAUUCUUCCAAUAGUUAGUUACAUAAACAACUAUAAAUACAUGUUCAUGCUAUUGUACAAGUUAGCCUUGUGAGCUCAUAAAUAGAAUUCUACUCUCUUCUCUUCUAGUAGCUUCUGUAAAUCGUGUUUCUGUUCACCAACAAUAAAAAUGAAACUGCACUUCACUUAGCAGCUAAUAAAGGGCACACAGAUGUGGUGAGGGUGCUACUUGGCGUAGUAGGUGGAGAGAGUGAGAGGAACAAUAAGGAGACACUCAUGAGGAUGACAGAUGACAAUGGAGAUACCGCCCUGCACAAGGCAGUGAGGACUGGAUGUGUACACACUAUCACACUCAGCGAUCCUGAAUUCAAGUUCCCACCAAACAAUGCAGGGGAGACACCACUCUAUCUGGUGGCCGAGUCUGGUUCUCUUAGCUGUUUGUCGGAAAUUUUGAAAUACUGCAAGACACCAACACACUGCGGUCCAUGUGAUUGAACGCCUUUGCAUGCGGCAAUCAUCCAGAAACAUAUGGGUAAUUAAUUACUUCAUUAAAUUGAUUUAGUGGUGUAAACUUUAAAUUAACUUAUAGCUUGUCAGUUAACUAUUUAUUCAAGGUCACCAAUCUCUGCUUAUUAUAUAGAAUUUUGAGUUUACCGAUACUAUUAAGAAUUUUCACUAUCAGUUCACUUUUACCUAUCGUAGCACAUAACUUGUCUUGUUUCAAGAUUCCAAAUUCCACUUUUAUUAGAGGUUUACCAGAUGAUCUUUGAUUGACUUGACAGUGUAAGAAAUCUUCACAUUGUUGGUAAAUAUAAGCUAGAUUUUAUUUUGAAACGGGUAACUUGAAGCUAGAUUUUAUAGAAUUACCUACGAUUACUUUUUAAUUGACUUGAUUUUGUAAAUGUGUUUUACGUCAUUAAUGUGUGGCAAACAUUUAAAUUACUUUGGAAAUAAUGAGAGUCUAUACCUUGAAUGAAUUUAUUUGAGAGGGAUCUUUUCAGCUUAUUCCUUUCAAAUGCUUGAAUUUGAAGUCAUCAAUAUAUAAAUUUACCCUUUAAAAUAUAAGAAUAAUCUUCUGCUAAUUUCUCUUUAAAUGACUCUUAAGAGUAAUUUGAAGUGAUGGAAGAGGAAGACAAUUAAAGAAUAAAUAAUUAGAGCUUGUUUGGAUUGACUUGUUUAAGUGCUUUUAAGCACUGUUAUUGUUCGGUAAAAUAGUAAAAUGCUUCUAAGCACUCGUUUUCAAGCCAAAAAAAAGAAGCAAAAAUAAGCCAAAAGCUAUAAGCUCAUCCACACAUGCGGUUAGUGUAAAGUUGAUUAGGAGCUUUUGAAUGAUUUCAUAAUUUGUGAUGAAUUAAUUAUCAUAAUAUUUGAGACGUUUGUGGAGAGCCUUGGGGCAGUGGUAAGGUUGUCUAUGUGUGUCCUGUAGAUCACGGAUUCAAGCCGUGAAAUCUUAGCCACGGAAACUUGUGUCAGGUUAGGCUACCUAUGUUGGACGCUUCAUGCAUCAGGCCACAGUUUCUGGUUUCUUUUUUUAAUUUUCAAUAUUUGACAUAUAUAUCUAGGUUGUGUGACAUCACUAUUGCAAUUGGAUAAAUCGUUAUGGAAGGAAUUAGACAAAUGGGGUUGGAAUCCAUUGCAUUAUGCUGCUAACAAGGAUUGACAGGAGUAGUUUGUAAUAUGGUGCAGCGGGAUAACUCGUUAGCCUACACUCGAGCAUGCAAGGAAAAUGACUGGACGACAUCAAUUCACAUUGCAGCCAGUGAAGGUUAUGUAGACGUGAUAAAUGCAGUAUCAGAGCAGUGUCCAGAUUACUGGGAAAUGCUUAACAGCAGUGGCCAAAAUGCUCUCCAUGUUGCCAUAUCGAACGAUAAGAGCAGAGUAGUCAGAUUGUUAUUGAAUGAUAAGGAAUCACAUAACCUUAUUGACGAGGCAGAUAAUGAUGGCAACACUCCUCUCCAAUUGCUUGCGUCUUCUAAAUAUCUAUAUGUGCCAUUACAAUUAAUAGGACAUCCCCAUACAAAGAAGAUGUUAUUUAACAAAGAAAACCAAACUCCGCUUGACAUAGAAAAGUCUGGCACAGAGACAACAGCUGUGGUACGUACCUGCUACUUACUCACCUUAAGUAUUACAGCAUGUACGAGGAUAUGUUAAUUCAUUAUGUUCAGAGUCUUGACCUGCUGAUGUGAAUUACAACUUGUGAUUCAUUUAUCUAAAUUGCUGUCAAUUCCGUGACUUAGGUAAUUAAUUCUCACCCAACUAAAUAUACAUAUAGACUUACUAGUUAUGGAGCGUCUGAGUUGCGUUCCAUAUAUAUGGUAUAUAUAUGAGUAAUAUCAAUACGUAUUUGAUUGAAAUAUAGCUACUGAAGUUACAUUUUCUUCCACUAUAUAUUAACUCAACUAGUCAUGAUGAAAAUAGGAGAAAUAUUUAUUCAAGCAGAACCUUCAAUAUGGUCGAUCGGGACGCCGUCACUUUGAGAUAAAAAAGAAACAAAAAAUGCAAGAGCAAGAGGAUGAAAUGGAGUCAAGCGAGAACAAAGCCAAAAAUGAUAAGAAAAGCGAACUGGAAAAUAUUAUGGCGGCAACUGAAAUACAUCUAGUUGUGGCUACUUUACUAGUUACGGUUACCUUUGCAGUCGGUUUCAUGUUACCAGGAGGUUUUGAGAGUGAUCCCAGUGGCCCUUAUAAAGGGUUGGUGAUUCUAGCAAGAAACACAGCAUUUCGUGCAUUUGUUGUUUCGGAUGCCAUCGCCUUUACAUGUUCCGCUGGUGCUGUAUUCAGCUACUUCUUCAUUGCAGCAAAUGCAACAGCCACAACAAAAAUAAAAAUUAUGCGUGUGCUUUUUAAUAAGGCAAUGUUACUGCAGCUUUUCGCGAUGUCAGCAGUUGUAAUUACCUUUGUAACUGGUAUGUAUGCUACUUUAGCACAUUCAGUUGGUCUCGCCAUUACUGUUGUUGUCAUCGAUUGCAUGUCUUUCCUUGUGUACGCUCUUCUGUUAUGCGCCUUCAACUAAACUCGUGAUGUAUUAUCAGUAUGUAGGUAAAAGGCUCUCAGACCCUAGUUUGUGGGUUUACGUUUGAAUAUAUUGUUAUUGUUGUAUGUGAGUAGCUGAGAGACAUUAAUGUUAUAUAAUAUAUGGAAAAGUGUCAUAAUUACCCCUGUAAUCUUAGGAAAGGAUUAUAAUAUUCCCUUAGUCAUACUUUUUUUUUGAUAUAUUUUGCCCCUACCAUAUAAGUUUAGGCACUCAUUUGCUCUGGUUUCCACUUUUAUCAUCCUAUGUGGCGCCUACGUGUGUGUGUAUAUAUAUAUUAAUUUCAUUUAAAAUUUUCUCCUAAUUUAUUAUUAUUCCCAAACCACUAUUAUACCCACCCAUUUAACCCAUAAAACCCAAACGUCCAGUACUUAUUUCAGGAGGAGGCUCCCCUCCCAUGCUUAAUCUCUCUAUUUUCUCAAGUAUAGCUUUUGAAUUAAUUGAGAUUAACCAUGGUAAACUCGUUUCUCCUCUGGUUACGUAGAAAUAAUUUCUCUUUUCAAUCAUAUCUUCCAAGAUAAAUCGUCAAUAUGCCCAUGUAUAAAUCUUUAGCUUCAACAACAACAAAAAAUUAAUCCUCUUCUUCAAAUUAAAUAAGACUUUAUUUCGUUUUCUCAUUCUUCAUAUGCUGGAUGAACACCUUUUUGCUCCUUUUACCUGUCAUAUGUUCUGUGUUAAUCUCCUUGGCUUAAUUUUAAAAAGAAGACUAGGAGAAGAAUUUAUUUUAAAAUCUUGAGAAUUCUGACAAAAAAAAUAAAAAAAGAUAAACUGAGGAUCAUGAAUACAAAAAUGCAAUUAGACCUCAACAAAUUGUACUAACCCAAAAAUUAAUUUAAAGUCAAGAAUACUUCUGUUCAUGUAAGAGAGAAAUUAUUUUGGGUUGUGAAAUUCAUUGGAAUGAAUUUUCUUUAGGCCAUGGUGAGAGUUUGGCUCUCUUCUACAAUUUGAACUCACAAUUAGUCAUAUUUCUUCUGCGAUUUGAACCGAUCAAACUGAGAUUUGGUUAUUUUCUUAAUGGAAAAGGGCCUAAAAUAACCCCUCAACUAUGCGAAUUGGUAUAAAAUCAUCCUUCUUCUAUCUUUCGGGCCUAAAAUAUCUUUGACGUCAACCUUUUGACUUUAUUUUACCCUUAUCUUUAACGGCCAAAAUAAUAACCUCAAUUAGCAAAUUCAUUUAUGACGUGUCGUUGUCCUAUUGGCUAUUCUAAUAAUUAAUAAAACUAAAUACCCACCCAAAAUCCCCACCCAUAACCCAAAUAUUCUAACCCAUACAAGCUUCUAUUCAGGGGUUCUUACCAGUUGAAGCUUCGAUUAUGGACGUGGAGGUAUUGGGAUUAGGAGGAAAAAAACUAGAGAUAUUCAAUGAAGAACUCUUUACUAAGUACUUGUUUUCCAGAAUAUGACAUGUUGCUUAGGACCAAGAUGACCUGUUGCUUAGGACCAUCAACUGUUCAACUUUGUUUAAGAGUUUUUAAAUGUUUUUAUGAUCCAAUGAGUAUAAUGGUGGUCCAAUUUUGAGGAUUAUAUUGGACAAACAGGGGAAAAGUUGGCAUUGAUCUGCUAGCGUAAGAUCAUUAUUAAGGUAUUUGGAUUAAAAGAUUUCGGUUAGAAUAUUUGGGUUAUGGGUGGAGCUUUUGGGUGGGUAUUUAGUUUUAUUAAUUAGUUUAAUUAAUUCUUAGGGUAGCCAAUAGGACAGCGACACGUCAUAAACGAAUUUGCUAAUUGAGGUUAUUAUUUUGGCUGUUAAAGAUAAGGGUAAAAUAGAGUCAAAAGGUUGACGUCAAGGGCAGAAGAAGGGUAAUUUUAUACCAAUUCGCAUAGUUGAGGGAUAUUUUAGGCCCUUUUUCCGUUUUCUUAAAAGAAUUAAGAGAAGAGCUUACCAUAGUUAACCUCAUUUAAUUAAGAGAAAAGACAUAAAGUGACACCUGAAGUUGUCCCGAAUUUUCAAAAAGACAUUUUAACUAUGCGGGUGUCCUAUUAGCCCCUUAAACAAUUCCGAUAAUUUAUUAUUACAUCAUUUUUCAAUCAAUUCCAGAUUUUAAAUGGCAAGUGUUAUCACACACUAAUCAUUGCGUGACAUGUGUUAAUUUAAUUUGAAAUAUAUUUUUUUUUUCAUUUUAAGUUUUUUUUUAUUUCUCUCUCUUACUUUUUGACUUAUCUUAAUUUUAUUAUUUUAAUUUUAAUUUCAUUUUAAAUUCUACUUCAUCUUCCACCACUACUUUCAAGCUACCCCUCCCUCCAUUUUCUUUCUUUCUUUCUUCUUCUUCACCUCCCACUCUCACUUCACCCCACCCCCACGUCAAGUUGAGCCCUUCAUUUUCUUUGUUUUUCCUUCUUCUUCUUCGGUCAAAUUCCUUUCUUUCCAAAAUUAUACUAUUUUCUAGAAUUUGUGUUAUUGAUAACAAAACUAAUUAUUUUUCUAAGAAAAAUCAAAAUUUUGAAUGUAUCAUCAAUUAAUUUAUCUCAUUUUCAUAUAACUUCAAAACUAGAAAUGAUAAUUUUGAAAGAAUCGAAAUUCUCCGAAAAUUGAAAAAGUUUAAUUGAAAUUCUGAUUUUAAAAAAAUUAAAUAAUACCUACUAAUCAUCGUGAAAUCUAAUGGGUUUAUCAAAUUGUUUGAAAUGUAAUAAAAUUUUUAGAUAUAAUUUUAAAAAUUGAAGAGAGUUAAACUAAUAGUGGUAAAAAAGGGAGGUGGAGUUGUGGUAAAAAGUGACAUUGAAAGUAAGAAGCUACAAUGAAGAUGAUAAUGAAUUUUUGAAGAAAGAAGAAAGAAAAAGAAAAAAAAUAAUAACGAGAAAAAGUAAAAAUAAUAAGAAAAACAAGAAAAUAAUUUUAUAGCAAAAUACUUGUAAAAAUAAAAUUAUAUUCGUUUUUUAGUUUGUUCACGCUCUUUAAGAGAGUGCAUACACUCUCCAUGCCAGGUGGACAAAAAAUGAUGUAAUAAUAUCAGUUCAGGAUUGCUUAGGGGGGUAAUAAGACAUUUGCAUAGUUUAGGUGUCUUUUUGAAAAUUCGGAACAACUUCAGGUGUCACUUUAUGCCUUUUCUCUUUAAUUAAUUAUAUCCAUGUAGGCAUGCCACGUAAGUGUCACAUACAAUGAUAAAAGUGAAAAACAUGACAUUAAUGGUCCAAGGGCAAAUAUGUGCCUAAAGUUGGAUGGUAGGAGCAAAAUAUCAAAAAAGUAGGACAAAUAUAACCCUUUUUUUAGAUUACAGGGGUAAAUAUGACCAUUUCCCAUAUAAUAUAAGGAAUAUGAAGAGCUCAUAUAUCUUUGUUGUAAAAGUUUCACAUAGACCCUUCAGUUACAUAAAUGACCCAGAUUUCCACUUUUCGUUUAACGGAAGUGAAAAAAAUGAUUUUAAAUUUAUUUUUAAAUUUUUUAUUAAAAUAAAAUCGAUAUAGGAGUAUAUAUGAUCAUUUUUCUCAUUGUUUUUCUUCUGCCUUCUUUAAUUCAAUAACUAAUUUGAGUUUAUUAUUGAAUAAAUAAUCAAAUGAGCCCCUAACCUAUUGCCGGAUUGAUCCCAAUAUACAUACUUUUACUUCAUGGGGGGUCCUAUUACCCCUGAACUAUUUAAAAUUGAAUAAUAUUUUUUGAUGCUUAACGGGCAAGCCCAUUUUAUUUAUAAUAAUAGGAAAAAUUACCUAAAGACACAACUUAUUUUACCAUAUUCUCUAAAAUUUCUUACUAUUUGAAAAAAUUACAAAAAUUCUUACUCUCUUAUUCUCAGACACAACACUUUACACGAUGUAUCGGUCGGAUACAUCACUUUAUGCAAUGUAUCGAUCAGAUACAUUACUUUGCACGAUGUAUCAGAACAUACAUGAUGUAUCAGGACGUUGAGUAAUGUAUUCAAAAUCGAGACGUAAUGUAUCGGGAUGUUGAUCGAUGUAUUCAAAACUGAGACGUGAUGUAUUGAGAACGUUUGGGGAUGCAUUCGGAUUCCACCAAAUUUAAGAGUUUUUUUUAAUUUGAAAGAGUAAGGAUAAGAUGUAAUUAACUCUUAACACUAUGAAAUUUUGUGUAAAAUUUCCCUAAUAAAAAGUAACAUAACUUAGGCCCAAAAGUGACCUAAGUCCAACAAAUAACAAAUCCAAACAAGAAAAGAACAAAAGGGAACAAAAAACAACAACUCAAUUUGAAAAUGAAGGACCUAGAAAUGGCGACGGAUCAUCUUCAUCUUCUCAAGCGAACAACGACGUUGAUGGAGCUUCUCCACCACUGUUGAGCUAUAUAUGUCAAAGCCUCGGGAGCUUGAGUGAACCCCAUAUCAAGCACUUAUAGGCCUGACAAAAGCCAUAGAGUCAACUUGGUGAAGAAUUCUUCGGCUCAAAAGACAGAUAUGAUCUCAACAAGAGUGCUACUUCCCCAGUUUCCAUCGGAAACAAGAGAGUCAUUGUAGAUGAGUUCAUACACCUGAAGUCUUCAUAAAUAUGUGUUAUUAUUUUGAAGUUAUUAUCUCCUUAAUUAUUUACGUGGCAAAGUGAGUGUAUUUCACUAUGUUUGAGAGAGUGAAGACCAAAAAUCAAUAUUAAAACUAUAUUUUUAAAACUCUGCACCAAAAGAGACCUUUAGCGGCAAUCAAUUUUCCUUUUAGCAGCAAUAUUUAUUGCCACAAAUACAUUUACCGGCAUUUAAUUAAAUGUCAUUGGAUCCAAUGUCGCUAAUGCCUUUAGUGACAUUUAUGUCGAGUGCUGGUAAAGACCCUUAUUAUUGCCACUAAAAGUAAUUACUUUUAGCGGCCUUUAUUAUUGUCAUUAAAUCCACCUUAGAAACAAGCAUAUUUGUGGCUCUUGCUAUUUCCGGCAAAAUUAAUAAUUGUCACUCAAUUAUUGUAACGCCUUAAAAUUGAUCAUAAAUUCAUCUUAAUUCACAUAUUUAACCCUCCUUUAUAACAUCAAAAAUAAAAUUUACAAGAGAAAUAAGUUCGAAGGUAAUAAAGAAGAAUUACCAAACUCAAAACAAUUCACUUAAUUAAAAUAAAAACAAACAAUCUAAUAUAUUCACUUUCUUAUCUCGUAGCGGUUAAACAAACUAUGAAUUAUCAAAACAGAAAAAAUGUGUUCAACAAUGGAGAAAAUAAGGCAAUUAAGCCACUGUUUUUUCCCUAAUGUAAAAUGUUACAGCUUUCUGGAUCAGUGUGUCAUUCUUUGAACAAGCUCACCUUUUGAAUGAGUAUGGCAUUGUACACAUAUAGCGGCAGAUGGUUAGAUGACAAAAAAUUGACAUGACAAUUACAUAUCUUACUCACUAAGACUAGGUGACUAAAAUUUGAAGAAAUAGAGAAGAAAAUGGCAAUCUACCGGGAUUUUGAAGCAUCCCCAAGGAGAAAAAAAGAUCGAUAGUGGAUAAAUCAAUUCUGCAAGAUAAUGAUGAGCUUGCUAAUAACAUCAUAGACUUAGCAGUAAAAUGUUUGACUGAGGAUCCAAAUAAACGCCCAGAUAUGAAGGAAGUCUAUGCCAACUUGUCCAAUUUGGUUGGAACAACAACGUCAAAUAAAUCAAUUAUGCAAGAAAGUAAGGAAGGCUUUACCAUCUUGUCCAAAUAUAGUAAGUUGAACAUGUAAAGCUCGAUGUAUAAACAGAAUAUCAACAUUUUGUAUUUUGUAUUUUGUAUUUUGUAUAAACAGAAUAUCAGCAUGAGUAGGCUAUAAAUGUCUGCAAUUUCAUCUUCCAAAUUAUUCUACUACUAUUGGCACUAGUUACCUAGUGUUACCUAGAAGGAUUACGAUGUAACAUAGCUAAGGCAAUAGCUUCAAAAUUCAGUAUAACGAGGAAAUAGAUUUGGAGAAAGACAUACCUGACAUAAUCCCAAUGUGCUUUCUCCCAGAAACAUGGCAACAUAUGCAAAAAGGAGGCUGGUUUUCAGUAUAUCCGUGAUAGUGGAAAAGAAGGGAGGUUUCCACAGUUCACUACAAUAUUAUCAAAAGCAACUUUAAGAUAACACCUUAAAACAAUCACAAAAAUAAAUAGCGUAAGCUUGAGACAAGUAACAGAAACUUGGCUGGAAAAUAAAUAAAUUGCAGCAGCUUUAAAAUAGUUAAUAUGCACUCACCUUCUAUAGGAGAAAUUUGAAAUUUCAGUCCAUAACAAUUUCUAUACCAUCAACUCCACCUCUUACCCAAUCAUUAUUGUCAUCCUCUAAAUCACAAAUAUUUUCUAAUAUAGUUAAAUCAGUUGUAUCAUUGAUGAGUCAAAUCGUAUACCAUUUUCUUCUCCCAUAUAAAAAAUGUAUCGUUGUUUAAUUGACCUUGGGACAAACCAUUCAUGAUCUUCAGGAUCUUGAACAAAUAUCACUUGUCGAGCUUGUCCAACAAAAACAAAUGGCUCAAUACUUACCCGAUCAUCUGAAUGCAUUAGAUGUGAGUAGUUCACAAGCGUGAAACCUAAGUCGUCUUUCAUAACUCCUCGGCCUUGAGUUACAUCAACCCAAUCACAUUUAAAUAAGAUGACUUUAAAUUUUUCAUAGUAGUUCAACUCAACAAUAUCAUUCAAUCUGCCAUAAUAUGUAAUAUUUGCUGAUUUCGGAGCACUGUCACUAGUACUUGCACUAUCAUCGAGACAACCGGAACCCCAUUAUUUUGGGUCUACAUGAACUCUUCAUACUGUUUUGUACGAAAUCGAUACCCAUUAUCAUAUGGAAUGCCUGCACUCUGCAGUAUCAUUUUUCCAAGCUCAGAAGCUUCUUGUUGAGUGGCACAGAGAGAGAAAAAGAUUUCAUCUUUGAAGAAAACAAUGUUGAAGAUAGAAAAUGGGGAAGAGAGAGAACAAGAAAAGAUCAAGCCCCAAAACAUACAAAUGUAGAAGUAGCCACCCCUUCUCAAGAAUCUCAACAUCAAGAACCAAUAGCUUCUCUAAGCAGUGAAAGAGUGUUGAGGAUGAAACAAGAACCCAAACUAGAUGUUGGUUCAGCUCUACCGCCGCCUCUGGUAAACACUUCAGAUCUAAAUUUUGGUGAUCAUAUGUUCUCUUUUCUGUUUGGUUCAGAGUAAAAUAAAAUAAAGGGCUUACUGCACUCACUUGUUUUCUUUCUCCUCAAUUUCUUAACAAUCAUGGUGGUCUUUUUUUUUAUGAACUGUGUUAAGAUUGUAUUGCAUGUUGUAUUAUCUUAAAUGUGUUAGCCUAUGUUGAGAGGUGCUGAAGAGGGGAGUAUAUUUUGAUGAUUUGUGCUCUCUUCUAGAGUGGUAGGGCUAAUGCAAAUGACUUUUGUUCAAAAAAAUUCUGAACUGCAAGAGUUAUAGAAUGAGUAUGAGACAUAUUGUUUGGCUAGUGGGUUAUUACAUAAAUACUUAAGCAUGAUUAGCAGAUUGCACUGGUUAUAUAUUCACUCUGCUUUGAUAGUUGAAAAGGGAUAAAGAUUUGAGAGGAUCAGGACAAAGCAACUUCAUGUUCUAUCAAUAAAUAAAUAAAAUAGUUAUAUGUUCUUAAAAGGAUAUGCUCUUUCCUUUAGACAGGUAAUGGUGUUUUAAGAUUAAUCAUUAGAAGCUAUUUUCUAUUAAGGAGUUGUCUUAAUUUUUUUUCGUUAACAUGUUUGCUCCGAACUAUUUUGUACUGUACAGAAGCCUACACAUAUAUGUUUGGACUUUAAGAUCUAUAUUGCUUGCUGUUCAUCAAAGUAUUAUUCUAGCACUUGGAUUACAUGACAUGUUGAAAGGCUUUGUUGGUUUAUUUGAUUUUCAUAAGUCCCUACAUAGACAAAUAGACUUGCAUCAACUAGCUGCCUGUUCCUAUUUGUUUUGACAGGGAUUUGCGCCACCAGAUACUUCACCUUCCUAUCUGAGGUAUCAAACUUGGAUAUCUUUAACGGCAUUACUUGGUCGGUGUGAAUCUAAUACUGUAACAUCAGAGUCUCCAAUUCGACAUGUUAAGAUACUUUAUUGAAAUUAUUUUCAAACUCUCUUGAUAAGUAAGAGUGAACUUUCAUCAUAGGUCAUUUUCAUGGUAGUGAAAUAGAUAAAAGUUGUUAGAGCGAUGAGUUAUUGUGUGAUAUUUGUAAUGAUUCAGCUGUUUAGCUGUGGUAGUCAUCUGAAAAAUAAAACUACCUACAGAAAACUAAUCAUUAAAAAACUGAAAAACUAGCUAUACGCGGAGGAAAUGACAAUGGGGAUAUAAAUCACAUGAUAUGCAUUAAUCAAUUAAUGUGAAAACAAUCUCCCAAAUGAUGCAUCACUACUUCGGUCAGUUCCUGUAUAAGUAACAGAACUCUCAAUUGUAACAUUAGGUAUACAUUUUCUCAAUCAAUAACAAUCUUAUCUCUUCUCUGGAAAGUAUAGAACUCAAUUAGGGUUCUAGAGUGAACUGUUCAAGAACAAGUUUCAAAUAACAGUUUAUAUUUACCUCACAACGACUAUUGAUCCUGAGAUAGAGAAUUUCACGUCGUUUUCUCAAGUUAAAUAUAGAAGAAAACAUAAUCUACUAAAUGUACACAGGUUUUUCAGCUAUGUUUUCUUCAAAGUUAUACGAAGCUAAUUAAAUCAAACCCAAGUUUAUCUUGUUGUGUGCUUACCAACAAGAAUGAGAGAUCGAGCGGAAAGAAAGAGAAAGAGAGAUUACCUCUUGCUGCGUGCUUCAGAUCGAGCAAAAUGAAACAAAAAUUGAUUUGUGUUUCAGAUCAAAUCCACCAUAGCCAUGGAAGGAAGCUUCAAAUCAAUCCAGCGCUUCAGAUGGAUUGGAGAAAGAGAGAUCAGGUAUUUUGGGAAUUUGAGAAUGAAAUAAAAUUUGACUGAAGAGGGUUUUUUGGUAUUUGAGGAUAAAAGAGAAAAGGAAAGUGAUAUUAAGGGUUACUUUUUAGUGGCUUAAGGUUAAUUGCGGUAAAUAUUGGCUUUAAAACACUAUUUAGCUGCAAUUUUAUUAUUGCCGCUAAAUCCUUCUUUUGUUGUAGUGAAAUUUACAUUCCCGAAAUCAAAUUGGUGCAAAUGAUCGAUAAGAUAGAUAUAAACAGAGACAGAUCUGUAGACAUAGAGGAAUUUGGGACAUUAUAUCAGUCGAUAAUGGAUGAGAGAGAUGAAGAAGAAGACAUGAUAUCAAAUAUACUCUCAUGCAUGCUAUUUUGCAUCUUCUGGUGAUGACAGCAGCUCUAAUUGCAUUUGCAACUGGUAUGUAUCUUACUUUAGCACAUUCAGUUGGUCUUGUCGUUAUUGUAUGCGUUAUCGAUGACAUCUCUUUCUAUCUGGUCUGCUUUAUGAUUCUUCUUCCUAAAAAAAGGCCUAGAGAUAAUCUGAACAGAUCCAUUAUGUGACAAUAAGAUUUCA
rnacentral:lncRNA from 1 species